rnacentral:sRNA from 1 species
AGAAGACCUCCCGUAAAUCAAGCCUGGCUGGGCGUACGCAGGUUGUAAAAAAGCGGGAUGACAAAGAAAAGUCAUCCCGC